rnacentral:rRNA from 1 species
UACAGAGGGUGCGAGCGUUAAUCGGAAUAACUGGGCGUAAAGGGCGCGUAGGCGGUGAGAUGAGUGUGAUGUGAAAGCCCCGGGCUUAACCUGGGAAGUGCAUCGCAAACGAUCUGACUGGAGUUUGGGAGAGGGUGGCGGAAUUUCCGGUGUAGCGGUGAAAUGCGUAGAGAUCGGAAGGAACGUCGAUGGCGAAGGCAGCCACCUGGCCCAGAACUGACGCUGAGGCGCGAAAGCGUGGGGAGCGAACAGG